GCCUUUGUGGUUCAGCGGUUAGAGCAUCUGCCUGGGCACUGAAGAGUCUCAGGUUUGAUUCCUGGCAAGAGCA
rnacentral:tRNA from 1 species